GCCUUUGUUGAUUAAUGGAUAUCACCUCAACUAGAUUGCACGUGUGUCAGCCAGUAUCAAUUGAGGUCAUGGAGGUUCGAAUCCUCCCGAAGGCA